rnacentral:rRNA from 1 species
UACGGAGGGGGCUAGCGUUGUUCGGAAUUACUGGGCGUAAAGCGCACGUAGGCGGCUUUGCAAGUUAGAGGUGAAAGCCCGGGGCUCAACUCCGGAAUUGCCUUUAAAACUGCAUCGCUAGAAUUGUGGAGAGGUAAGUGGAAUUCCGAGUGUAGAGGUGAAAUUCGUAGAUAUCAGGAGGAACACCAAUGGCGAAGGCAGCUCGCUGGGACGGUACUGACGCUGAGACGCGAAAGCGUGGGGAGCAAACAGG